rnacentral:rRNA from 1 species
GAUGAACGCUGGCGGCGCGCCUAACACAUGCAAGUCGAGCGAUUCUCUUCGGAGAAGAGCGGCGGACGGGUGAGUAACGCGUGGGUAACCUGCCCUGUACACACGGAUAACGUACCGAAAGGUAUGCUAAUACGAGAUAAUAUGCUUUUAUCGCAUGGUAGAAGUAUCAAAGCUCCGGCGGUACAGGAUGGACCCGCGUCUGAUUAGCUAGUUGGUAAAGUAACGGCUUACCAAGGCGACGAUCAGUAGCCGACCUGAGAGGGUGAUCGGCCACAUUGGAACUGAGACACGGUCCAAACUCCUACGGGAGGCAGCAGUGGGGAAUAUUGCACAAUGGGCGAAAGCCUGAUGCAGCAACGCCGCGUGAGCGAUGAAGGCCUUCGGGUCGUAAAGCUCUGUCCUCAAGGAAGAUAAUGACGGUACUUGAGGAGGAAGCCCCGGCUAACUACGUGCCAGCAGCCGCGGUAA